rfam:Neomicrococcus aestuarii strain B18, complete genome.
AGCGUCUUUUUUCGCGGCGGAGCUCGACCGCCCACGAGGUUGAUCGUGAAAUUCAUUGAUCAGUUUCGGGAUCGCUAUGGGGUCAAGCCGAUCUGCACGGUGCUCACGCGUCAUGCUGGUGUGAAGAUCGCCCCG